UACAGAGGGGGCAAGCGUUAUUCGGAAUUAUUGGGCGUAAAGGGCGCGUAGGCGGCUUUGCAAGUGACGGGUGAAAGCCCUCGGCUUAACCGAGGAACUGCCUGUCAGACUGUGAGGCUUGAGACCGGGAGAGGCGAGUGGAAUUCCCAGUGUAGCGGUGAAAUGCGUAGAUAUUGGGAGGAACACCAGUGGCGAAGGCGGCUCACUGGACCGGAACUGACGCUGAGGCGCGAAAGCGUGGGGAGCAAACAGG
rnacentral:rRNA from 1 species